UGCCAGCAGCCGCGGUAAUACGAAGGGUGCAAGCGUUAUCCGGAUUCAUUGGGUUUAAAGGGUGCGUAGGCGGAACAAUAAGUCAGCGGUGAAAUCCUGCAGCUCAACUGUAGAAUUGCCGUUGAUACUGUUGUUCUUGAGUACGCUUGACGUGGGCGGAAUGUGCCGUGUAGCGGUGAAAUGCUUAGAUAUGGCACAGAACACCGAUAGUGAAGACAGCUCACGAAGGCGAAACUGACGCUGAGGCACGAAAGCGUGGGGAUCGAACAGGAUUAGAUACCCUGGUAGUCCACGCCGUAAACGAUGAUCACUCGUGGUUGGCGAUAUACGGCCAGUCACCUAGCGAAAGCGUUAAGUGAUCCACCUGGGGAGUACGAUCGCAAGAUUGAAACUCAAAGGAAUUGACGGGGGCCCGCACAAGCGGUGGAGUAUGUGGUUUAAUUCGAUGCAACGCGAAGAACCUUACCUGGCCUAGACAUGUCCGGAAUCCUGCAGAGAUGCGGGAGUGCCUUCGGGAAUCGGAACACAGGUGCUGCAUGGCUGUCGUCAGCUCGUGUCGUGAGAUGUUGGGUUAAGUCCCGCAACGAGCGCAACCCUUGUCCUUAGUUGCCAGCACGUAAUGGUGGGAACUCUAAGGAGACUGCCGGUGCAAACCGUGAGGAAGGUGGGGAUGACGUCAAAUCAUCACGGCCCUUACGUCCUGGGCUACACACGUGCUACAGUGGGCGGUACAGAGAGCAGCCACUACGCAAGUAGGCGCGAAUCUUCAAAACCGUUCUCAGUUCGGAUCGGAGUCUGCAACUCGACUCCGUGAAGCUGGAUUCGCUAGUAAUCGCAUAUCAGCCAUGAUGCGGUGAUACGUUCCCGGGCCUGCACUCACCGCCCGUCAAG
rnacentral:rRNA from 1 species